rnacentral:sRNA from 1 species
GCUGGGUGCUGUGGUGCAUGCCUGUAGUCCAAGGUACUCUGGAGGCUGAAGCAGGAGGAUUGCAAGUUGAGGGCAGGCUGGGCAACUUAGUGAUACUCUGUCUCAA